CUAUCUUCAUAAAUAUCUCUUCAUGCGCCGUCAUCUUCAACCUUUUGCCACUUUGUUCUCAUCUUCCUCCAAAGUUAUAGUUCCACCAUAUAUCGUAGCUUCCAACUGACGAUUCUGCUCGAGCUCGACCUCUAUUUGCACAGGUGUUUCCAUCUUUAACGUUUGUUCCUCCUCUGGUCUCUGCUAGCAACAAGCUCCGACUAGUCUUCAUCAACUUGCUUCGUGAUCUCUGGUGCAGAUCUAGUUUUCAUCAAUGACUUCCUCCACCUCCGUGCCAGUGAAUAUGAAAGAUAAGGUCUUGAUCCGAGCUGAAAGCAACCUAGCUGUGUACUAUUUAAGGCUGAUGGGCAACCCAGAUCCCUUAUAAUUCAUCAACUUAGAAACCAAUUGGAUCCCUUACAAGAACUCCUGCAUGCAAUUGUCCGAUUGGCAUCACAGCUUCCGUUCUUGGCCCAAUCAUUUACCAGGAUGGAGAAAUUAAAUUGGUAUUGUCACAUGUCGGCUGCCAAGGGGCAUUUGUGGGAUGAGACCCAGAUCGAAUAAUGCAUAAAUCUUUCCUUA